rfam:Oryza glumipatula chromosome 7, whole genome shotgun sequence.
UUUAAGUACAAUCAUGAGUUUUCGCGUCCAAUUUUGAUCGUUCGUCUUAUUUAAAUUUUUUUAUAAUUAGUAUUUUUGUUGUUUUAAGAUGAUAAAACAUGAAAAGUACUUUACUCGUGACUUAUGGUUUUUAUUUUUUUAAAAAAAAGAUUUAAAUAAGAUGGAUGAUUAAAGUUGGACGCGGAAAACCAUGGCUGCAGUUAAA